UUGUAUUGCACAUGAAUUCUUGUGAGGUAUAUAACAAGUUAUUAAGAUAUUGAAGGAACUUAAAUUAUUUAUAGUUCAGAGAGACUAAAAAAUUUAUUAAUAGUUACAUUUUCUUGUAGAUAUCAUGAUUGAGUCUUUGCUCGCACCCCAUUUUCAAAGCCUAUGAAGUAUGUUGACCAUGCUUUAUAAUCCUAUCUAGAUGUGAAGAAUUCAUUAACAUCAUCAUUUUUCAUAUAUGUUGAAAAUAUUAUUUUUAAAUAGUAAUAACAAUAUAAAGUCCUUUUGGUAGCUCAAAUACUAUAAACUCAUGAUGGUGAGAUGCAUUGACAUUAUUAAUCAUUAGUUUGUUCUUUUUAUUUUUGAAACUUUAAAUAAAUAAGAUUCAAAUCUAUAUUAUGAAGU
rnacentral:lncRNA from 1 species